UACGUAGGCAGCGAGCGUUGUUCGGAAUUACUGGGCGUAAAGAGUGUGUAGGCGGUGUUCUAAGUUUGGUGUGAAAUCUCCCGGCUCAACUGGGAGGGUGCGCCGAAAACUGGAAUGCUAGAGUAUGGGAGAGGUAAGCGGAAUUCCUGGUGUAGCGGUGAAAUGCGUAGAUAUCAGGAGGAACACCUGUGGUGUAGACAGCUUACUGGACCAUCACUGACGCUGAGACACGAAAGCGUGGGUAGCAAACAGG
rnacentral:rRNA from 1 species